AGGCAGGAUGGCGUCUUCCCCAACUGGGAGGCCUUCUAUGGUGUGGUGUGGUGGUGGCGGCGGUGUGUGUGUGUGUGUGUGUGUGUGUGUGUGUGUGUGUGUGUGUGUGUGUGUGUGUGAGCUAAGAAAUCAUCACAGAGCCAGCAAGAUGGCGUAGCGGAUAGAGGUGCCUGCCACCAAACCUGAUGAUCUGUGUUCAAUCACUGGCGAUCCACACGGUGGAGAGAGAGAACUGAUUCCAGCAAGGUGUCCUCUGAUUCCACACGUGAGCCUUGGCAAGUGGACAGAUGGAUGGACAGACGGAUGUGUGCGAGCACAUGCACACACACAGAAUAAAUAUUGAACUUGGCUGUGGUUUUUGUUGUCUCCUGCCCCUCCCACCCUCUGCAUGGCAAUCACCACGAUGUCAGUUCCGUCUCAUCCAGCAGCUGUAAGAUGCUACGAGGUGACAGUGUUGAAAUUUUCCCUCAAUCAAAAGCCAUGCUACAGAUCAGAAACUGGCAGAAAGGCAAGCAUGGGCAUGGCACCCAUUUCUUUUCCGGUUGCACACGGCUCAACGUUGAAUAAUUGAUUCACCUUGUAAUGGCUGCCCAGCAGUAAGAAUCCAUGAACUGCUUCCUGAGGGACCACCUGGGAAUGAGAAAAACAACUGUGAUUCUUUGAAUUGAAGCCAGGCUCAGAGAGCUCUUGAAGGGCGGGGUGAACUGUUCUGAGAAACAACCAGCUGUAAACCAUCUACAACCAGCUGUAAACCAUAGAGCAAAGUGACCUGAUUUUCAGGUAUAAAAACCCUGUGCUUUGCAUGUUCGGGGUCAUCUCCUGUCUUUGGAGGGGCGACCCUAUCACGAUAGCAGUAAACCUCUUGCUUUUGCAUUGA